rnacentral:rRNA from 1 species
GGGCCCGCACAAGCGGUGGAGCAUGUGGUUUAAUUCGAUGAUACGCGAGGAACCUUACCAGGGCUUAAAUGCAGAACGACAGACUGGGAAACCAGUCCUUCUUCGGACGAUCUGCAAGGUGCUGCAUGGUUGUCGUCAGCUCGUGCCGUGAGGUGUCGGGUUAAGUCCCAUAACGAGCGCAACCCCUAUCCUUAGUUGCCAGCGAGUAAUGUCGGGGACUCUAAGGAAACUGCCUGCGCAAGCAGUGAGGAAGGUGGGGAUGACGUCAAAUCAUCACGGCCCUUACGUCCUGGGCUACACACGUGCUACAAUGGCGCAUACAAAGGGCAGCUACCUGGUGACAGGAUGCUAAUCUCUAAAGUGCGUCUCAGUUCGGAUCGAAGUCUGCAACUCGACUUCGUGAAGCUGGAAUCGCUAGUAA